rnacentral:rRNA from 1 species
CGACAGACGAGGAGCUUGCUCCUCUGACGUUAGCGGCGGACGGGUGAGUAACACGUGGAUAACCUACCUAUAAGACUGGGAUAACUUCGGGAAACCGGAGCUAAUACCUGAUAAUAUAUUGAACCGCAUGGUUCAAUAGUGAAAGACGGUUUUGCUGUCACUUAUAGAUGGAUCCGCGCCGCAUUAGCUAGUUGGUAAGGUAACGGCUUACCAAGGCAACGAUGCGUAGCCGACCUGAGAGGGUGAUCGGCCACACUGGAACUGAGACACGGUCCAGACUCCUACGGGAGGCAGCAGUAGGGAAUCUUCCGCAAUGGGCGAAAGCCUGACGGAGCAACGCCGCGUGAGUGAUGAAGGUCUUCGGAUCGUAAAACUCUGUUAUUAGGGAAGAACAAAUGUGUAAGUAACUAUGCACGUAGCGGCUUAGUCGACAGACGAGGAAACACGUGGAUAA